rnacentral:lncRNA from 1 species
AGAAAGUUGUUUAUGGACGCUUGUAUAACGACACGAAAGGCGGAAAUCCUGAGAUGCAGCUUUUUUACUGGCCAGAAAAAAAAUCACAACCAGCGGAAAGGACUUUGAUGUAUUAUGACAGCGAGAGCCACUGUGCAUUGUUCACGCUUGCCAGAAAAGGUAAACUUCACUGUGAGCUUCACGUGUGGACAAAGGGUAUUUAUAUAAAAGGCAAAUAUCACUACGUGGGCAACGUUUGCACUAUGGUCUUCCAGGAAAUUUGUCCCGAACUGCCAAUGGCCGUGAUAUAUACGAGCGCCUGUAGGAAAUGACGGAACCGGGUGCCUUGUGUGAGCUUUCCUGUUGUGAUGCCGU